UUUUUCCCCCUCCUCUCUCCCUCACCUGCUCCGUCCCUGUGUGCGUCUGUGAGCGUGGUGGCAGCAGCAGAGUGGUGCACCUGCUCCUCAUCUACUCAUCACCCUCUGACUAUAUCACCCCGGUCUCUCCACAACUCCAGUGCCGGAUUAUUCCGUAACUAACGAUGAUUACAUUGUGCCAAAGUAUCUAGAGCUAGCCCAACACAUUCUAUGUUCCUGUGUUUAUGCUCAACUACUAAUGCUCGUUUUGCUGGCUCGUCUUGCUCAAAAACCCCAGCGCUUUUCCGCUCUGUGUUCUUGCCAGUCAACUUUCCUGCGCUCCUUCGCACGAGAUCUCUGAGACCUUGCCCACCUGCCUGCCUGCCUGCCCGUCUCCCGGCCUGCCCACCUGCCAGUCUCCAGAUUCUGCAUGUCACCUUUGGUUGCACUCUGACCUGUUUCCAACCUCUGACUGGCCCUUUGAAGACACAUGCAUUUCUGGGAAGCCCUCCCAAUGACCUCAUCAAUCACAACAUCACCAGCCAGGCAUGUCCCUAUGCACAAAGCCAGGUCCAUAAAGAAAUGAACUGUGAGGCAGAUCACAGUACUUAACAUCAGUGGACCUUAGUAAUGCUCUUGUGGCUGAAUGGGAGAAAAUAGGUCGCAGCCCCGGCAUCUCCGUGUGGAUAGAAGUGUUCAAGCCACGUCAAAACGGAUAGACAUAUACAUGACUUGGAGCAAUGAGCAGAAGGUUUUUCCUGGUUAGCGGACAUGGCCGAGGACCCCUCUCCAGACAGGAUUCUCAAACCACACCACCAGCACACCAGGGACCCUCGCAAGUUAAAAUGAACGCCAGUCAAAUUCAGUGGUAAACCAGAGCUACAUGAAUAACAAAUGUCAACAACUGCAGCUAACAGUUAGCUGAGCGUGCUUGCUGGUAGCCAGCAACAUUCCUGUCCAGGAAUCAGCGCUGCUGGUAAGGCAGAAGUAGUAGACCC